rnacentral:misc_RNA from 1 species
AACGCACAUUGCGCCCUUUGGCAUUCCGAAGGGCAUGCCUGUUCGAGCGUCAUUACACCAAUCAAGCCUGGCUUGGUAUUGGGCGACGGGGCCGUCACACGCCCCGUGCCCCAACGACCCCCGGCGGGACGGACCGAAUCUCAGCGUUGUGCAAAUAGUCGCUGGCGAGACGGGACAGCCGUGCCGUGAAAACCCUCUUUAUACCACAGGUUGACCUCGGAUCAGGUAGGGAUACCCGCUGAACUUAA